rnacentral:siRNA from 1 species
CUGUAAAUAAAUCCAAACUCCA